rnacentral:rRNA from 1 species
UCGCCCUUCGGUAAUUCCAGCUCCAAUAGCGUAUAUUUAAGUCGUUGCAGUUAAAAAGCUCGUAGUUGGACUUUGGGACGGGUCGGUCGGUCCGCCUCGCGGUGUGCACCGGUCGCCCCAUCCCUUCUGUAGGCGAUGCGUGCCUGGCAUUAACUGGCCGGGUCGUGCCUCCGGCGCUGUUACUUUGAAGAAAUUAGAGUGCUCAAAGCAAGCCCACGCUCUGGAUACAUUAGCAUGGGAUAACAUCACAGGAUUUCGGUCCUAUUGUGUUGGCCUUCGGGAUCGGAGUAAUGAUUAAGAGGGACAGUCGGGGGCAUUCGUAUUUCAUAGUCAGAGGUGAAAUUCUUGGAUUUAUGAAAGACGAACCACUGCGAAAGCAUUUGCCAAGGAUGUUUUCAUUAAUCAAGAACGAAAGUUGGGGGCUCGAAGACGAUCAGAUACCGUCCUAGUCUCAACAGUAAACUAUGUCGACUAGGGAUCGGUCGAUGUUAUCUUUUUGACUCGAUCGGCACCUUACGAGAAAUCAAAGUUUUUGGGUUCUGGGGGGAGUAUGGU